GUCAGGACGCGCUGCGCGUGCUAAGCUUCUAGCUACGGCGGGCCUCGCGGUGGAGGUUGGGGUGGGCUCGUUGUCGCGCAUGGCAGUCAUCCGCCUCCAUCGGGGACUCCAGUCGAUGCCGGCCGGUGCUCUGAACAUAUCGACGAUUUCACGAAACAGGGACGGCUGACGCACAGCAGAUUAUCCAGAACAUGGACUGUCCAGGAAUUGUCGAUAAACACCCUCGCCCUGUCAUCAGGAAAUCAGAAGUGGAGAGUUACUGCCAUCUGACAGUCUCCCUAACAGCUUGGGCUGGUCUCCAUGAAACUGGCAGGCUGCCUUGUUAGCUGCAAGGAGUAACAUCUCACACCUCACAGCCCCCUUCUCCCGGGGCCUCUACUGUAUGUCAUUGCACCAGCACACACAAAGCCGUCAUCCCUUCCUCAGUGUUUCAGCAGCAAUCCCAGGUUGCAAGAGCUAGAAGAGCCCUGAGGUGGGUGGAGCAGCCCACAAAUCAUCGCAACUGUGUAGUGUCUGGUGGGCCACUCUAUGGAGUCUGGUCUGUAUAGGGCAUGCCUUGGUAUUUGUCAU